AGCAGCCCCAGGUGUGAGUGUGACGAUGAGGAGGGGCCGGCUCCUGCCGGGGUCUGUUUUAGGGGGAGGGUUUGCCUCAGCUCCCUUUUGCAUGGUGCUGCUGCUGAGUAGCGGGGCUCCCGGGGCUGUCUCGUGGAAGGACGGUGAGAGCUUCUCCCGGGCUCUGGGGGAACACCAGGAUGCGCGCUUGGAUACGCGGAGCGUUGCUUAAAGGAGGUGCCGAGGGACAAAGCUUUGUGCCGGGAAGCGGCAGCCGAACAGGCACAGCACGGGAUCAGCAGGGAGAGGCGGCUCUGUCGUGGAGGAUCCAGGAGCUCGGCGUGCGUGUCUGAGCCUGCAGCUGCGAGCCGCAGCAGGACCCAAGGUCUGCACACGCCUGUGUACAGAAGAAUGAUGCGAGAACAGAAAAGUUGCAAUGGCAUUGCAGUUCCCUGCACAGAAAAUAGCCAGGGAGGUGAAGCCCGGCCCAGUGGUGCCGUUCGACUGCGCCCCGACUGGGAGCAUCAGGUGAGUGACGAGGACUGAGCCGCUCCCCCCC